rnacentral:rRNA from 1 species
GACGAACGCUGGCGGCGUGCUUAACACAUGCAAGUCGAACGCUGACGCUCAGCUUGCUGGGUGGGUGAGUGGCGAACGUGUGUGUUACACGUGAGUAACCUGCCCUCUUCUUUGGGAUAACGCCCGGAAACGGGUGCUACUACUGGAUAUUCACUGAUUCUCGCAUGGGGGUUGGUGCAAAGGUUUUUUCUGGUGGGGGAUGGGCUCGCGGCCUAUCAGCUUGUUGGUGGGGUGAUGGCCUACCAAGGCUUUGACGGGUAGCCGGCCUGAGAGGGUGACCGGUCACAUUGGGACGGAGAUACGGCCCAGAGUAGGACGGGAGGCAGCAGUGGGGAAUAUUGCACAAUGGGCGAAAGCCUGAUGCAGCGACGCCGCGUGAGGGAUGGAGGCCUUCGGGUUGUAAACCUCGUUCGCACAUGGUCAAGCCGCAGCUUUGGGUUGUGGGGAGGGUAGUUGGUAAAGAAGCGCCGGCUAACUACGU